GAUGAACGCUGGCGGCGUGCCUAACACAUGCAAGUCGAGCGGCAGCGAGGGGUGCUUGCACCCUGUCGGCGAGCGGCGGACGGCUGAGUAACGCGUGUGAACGUGCCCCAAAGUGAGGAAUAACUGCCCGAAAGGGUAGCUAAUACCGCAUAUUAUCUCCGGAGCAAAGGCGUUAUCCGCUUUGGGAGCGGCUCGCGUCGGCUUAGGUGGUUGGUGAGGUAAUGGCUCAGCAAGCCGACGAUCCGUAGCUGGUCUGAGAGGAUGACCAGCCAGACCGGAACUGCGACCCGGUCCCGACUCCUACGCGAAGCAGCAGUGAGGAAUCUUCCACGCUGGGCCAUAGCCUGAUGGCGCCACGCCGCGUGCAGGACGAAUGCCUUCGGGUUGUAAACUGCUUUUAUAAGUGAGGAAUAUGACGGUAACUUAUGAAUAAGGACCGGCUAACUACGUG
rnacentral:rRNA from 1 species